UGGUGGGCGUGUCCUCGGUGAGUUGGUGUUCAGGUGUUUCGGGUCUGCAGGUCAGAGUCUCGGACUCGGAACCAGACCGGUAUGGACCUGCGCUUUAUUGGCGCGUGCGCGCCGCUCUUCCUGCUCGCGCUGCUGUUUGACGUGGUGGGCUUCGUGCUGCUGUUCGUGGGUAUUUUUGCUAACCUGCAGGUGAACGGCCGCUUCUACGGGGACUUUCUGAUCCACACCGGCGGCGUGCUGGUGUUCUGCAGCCUGGGUUGGUGGCUCAUGUGGUACGCGGGCAACAUCCAGGUGAGCAGAGAGGGCGCGAGCCGGGGCAGAGGCGGCACUGCGCACAGGUGCAAACAGCUGGCCAGGAAACUGACCGAGAGGCUCUCCAGAACCCAGCGCAAAGAGGACGAUCAGCAGAGCGUGAUGAAGACUACUGGAGGAGGAGGAGCAGGGGGGGCAGAUAUGGGAGAUAAAGAAGCCGCGAGACCCCAAGCAGGGUCAAAGGUGACCUGGGGUAAAUCGUCCUGCUACCACAACCAGGGCUAUGAAGAGGAACUAGAGAACCACAUGCCUGAGGAGCAGCAGGAGGAGGAGGAGAAGAACCUCGAGAUGCUGCUGUAAAGCAGUUGGGUGUAUGUAUUCAGUUCCAGUUCAUCUUUAAAUCAACAUAUCAGGUCACACAGUUGUAGAAGGGAGUGUCUCUGGAACGCUGGGAUCUAAUGUGAAAAAAUACUUCUUUUAUACAGUUUUAUAAAGUGCAAUAUCUUCUGUUUGAUUGAAUUAUGUUACAUUUCAGUUAGUAAAAUGUAUGUAAUGCACAUAUUUAGUGCAGCUAGACUAGUUUUAAUUUUUUUAUGUUAACUGUAUUUAAUGUACACUGUUGUGAUGAACUUUAUUUUGAUGGUUCACUGUAGAUACUUUUGUUACUGUACAUGUAAUUCUUACAUUUCUAAUGAGAACAUCAACAUAAAGUGGGGUCUAACAUUUCAUAACCAUCAUUUCUUGUUAUGUUUUUUAACAAAAUUAGAAAAUACUGGCUGUGCUGGUCUGACAGAUAGACCAACAUAAACAGUCAAACAUUA